rnacentral:rRNA from 1 species
AGAGCGAACGCUGGCGGCAGGCCUAACACAUGCAAGUCGAGCGCCCCGCAAGGGGAGCGGCAGACGGGAGAGUAACACGUGGGAACGUACCCUUUGGUUCGGAACAACACAGGGAAACUUGUGCUAAUACCGGAUAAGCCCUUACGGGGAAAGAUUUAUCGCCAAAGGAUCGGCCCGCGUCUGAUUAGCUUGUUGGUGAGGUAACGGCUCACCAAGGCUACGAUCAGUAGCUGGUCUGAGAGGAUGAUCAGCCUCACUGGGACUGAGACACGGCCCAGACUCCUACGGGAGGCAGCAGUGGGGAAUAUUGGACAAUGGGCGCAAGCCUGAUCCAGCCAUGCCGCGUGGAUGAUGAAGGCCCUAGGGUUGUAAAGUCCUUUCGACGGGAAGAUAAUGACGGUACCCGUAGAAGAAGCCCCGGCUAACUUCGUGCCAGCAGCCGC